GUCGAGCGGUAACAGGUGUAGCAAUACAUGCUGACGAGCGGCGAACGGGUGAGUAAUGCUUCGGAAUCUGCCCAAUGGUGGGGAAUAACCAGCCGAAAGGUUGGCUAAUACCGCAUAAGUCCUACGGGGGAAAGCAGGGGAUCGUAAGACCUUGCGCCGAUGGAUGAGCCGAAGUCGGAUUAGCUAGUUGGUAGGGUAACGGCCUACCAAGGCGACGAUCCGUAGCUGGUCUGAGAGGACGACCAGCCACACUGGGACUGAGACACGGCCCAGACUCCUACGGGAGGCAGCAGUGGGGAAUAUUGGACAAUGGGGGAAACCCUGAUCCAGCGACGCCGCGUGUGUGAAGAAGGCCUGCGGGUUGUAAAGCACUUUUAGUGGGGAUGAAAAGCUCAGGGCUAACACCUCUGGGUCUUGACCUAACCCACAGAAAAAGCACCGGCUAACUCUGUGCCAGCAGCCGCGGUAAUACAGAGGGUGCAAGCGUUAAUCGGAAUUACUGGGCGUAAAGCGUGCGUAGACGGUUACGUAAGUCGGGUGUGAAAGCCCCGGGCUCAACCUGGGAAUUGCAUUCGAGACUGCAUAGCUAGGGUGCGGAAGAGGGAAGCGGAAUUUCCGGUGUAGCGGUGAAAUGCGUAGAUAUCGGAAGGAACACCAGUGGCGAAAGCGGCUUCCUGGUCCAGCACCGACGUUCAGGCACGAAAGCGUGGGGAGCAAACAGGAUUAGAUACCCUG
rnacentral:rRNA from 1 species